UACGGGGGGGGCAAGCGUUGUUCGGAAUUACUGGGCGUAAAGGGCUCGUAGGCGGCCAACUAAGUCAGACGUGAAAUCCCCCGGCUUAACCUGGGAACUGCGUCGGAUACUGGAUGGCUUGAAUCCGGGAGAGGGAUGCGGAAUUCCAGGUGUAGCGGUGAAAUGCGUAGAUAUCUGGAGGAACACCGGUGGCGAAGGCGGCGUCCUGGACCAAUACUGACACUGAAACGCGAAAGCCAGGGGAGCAAACGGG
rnacentral:rRNA from 1 species